rnacentral:rRNA from 1 species
AUUGAACGCUGGCGGCAUGCUUUACACAUGCAAGUCGAACGAGUGGCGAACGGGGGAGUAAUAUAUCGGAAAGUACCGAGUAAUGGGGGAGAACCAAUCGAAAGAUUGGCUAAUAACGCAUAUGAUUCGAGCGGCAGAUAACUAAUUAGCUGGUUGGUGGGGGAAAGGCCUACCAAGGCGACGAUCAGUAGCGGGUCUGCGAGGACGAUCCGCCCCACUGGGACUGAUACACUGCCCAGACUCCUACGGGAGGCAGCAGUGGGGAAUUUUGGGCAAUGGGGGCAACCCUGAUCCAGCCAUGCCGCGUGUAUGAAGAAGGCCUUCGGGUUGUAAAGUACUUUUGUUAGGGAAGCGGUACCUAAAGAAUAAGCACCGGCUAACUACGUGCCAGCAGCCGCGGUAAUAC